AACUUUUGACAAUGGAUCUCUUGGCUCUCGCAUCGAUGAAGAACGCAGCGAAAUGCGAUAAGUAAUGUGAAUUGCAGAAUUCAGUGAAUCAUCGUAUCUUUGAACGCACCUUGCACUCUCUGGUAUUCCGGAGAGUACGCCUGUUCGAGUGUCAUGAAACUCUCAAGCAGAGAUAGCUUUGUUGCUGUUUUUGUUUGGAUUUGGACUUUGCUGUGCCAAUGCGGCUGGUCUUAAAUGCAUUAGCUGGUCCUUAUAUGAGGGAUUUGGUUCUACUCAGCGUGGUAAUUAUCUAACGUUGAGGACAGUCUUAGGACUGGCCAGAGCUUAUAUCUGGAUUGCUUCUAAUUGUCCCUCGGGACAUACUGUUCAAUUGUCUGACCUCGGAUCAGGUGGGAUUACCCGCUGAACUUAAGCAUAUCAAUAAGCGGAGGCU
rnacentral:misc_RNA from 1 species